UAGAGUUUGAUCCUGGCUCAGGAUGAACGCUGGCGGCGUGCUUAACACAUGCAAGUCGAACGAUGAUCCGGUGCUUGCGCCGGGGAUUAGUGGCGAACGGGUGAGUAACACGUGAGUAACCUGCCCUUGACUCUGGGAUAAGCCUGGGAAACUGGGUCUAAUACCGGAUAUGACUCCUCAUCGCAUGGUGGGGGGUGGAAAGCUUUUGCGGUUUUGGAUGGACUCGCGGCCUAUCAGCUUGUUGGUGGGGUAAUGGCCUACCAAGGCGACGACGGGUAGCCGGCCUGAGAGGGUGACCGGCCACACUGGGACUGAGACACGGCCCAGACUCCUACGGGAGGCAGCAGUGGGGAAUAUUGCACAAUGGGCGCAAGCCUGAUGCAGCGACGCCGCGUGAGGGAUGACGGCCUUCGGGUUGUAAACCUCUUUCAGUAGGGAAGAAGCUUUCGGGUGACGGUACCUGCAGAAGAAGCGCCGGCUAACUACGUGCCAGCAGCCGCGGUAAUACGUAGGGCGCAAGCGUUAUCCGGAAUUAUUGGGCGUAAAGAGCUCGUAGGCGGUUUGUCGCGUCUGCUGUGAAAGACCGGGGCUCAACUCCGGUUCUGCAGUGGGUACGGGCAGACUAGAGUGAUGUAGGGGAGACUGGAAUUCCUGGUGUAGCGGUGAAAUGCGCAGAUAUCANGAGGAACACCGAUGGCGAAGGCAGGUCUCUGGGCAUUAACUGACGCU
rnacentral:rRNA from 1 species